rnacentral:rRNA from 1 species
UACGGAGGGUGCAAGCGUUAUCCGGAUUCACUGGGUUUAAAGGGUGCGUAGGCGGGCAGGUAAGUCAGUGGUGAAGUCCUGGAGCUCAACUCCAGAACUGCCAUUGAUACUAUCUGUCUUGAAUAUUUGUGGAGGUAAGCGGAAUAUGUCAUGGUAGCGGUGAAAUGCUUAGAUAUGACAUAGAACACCUAUUGCGAAGGCAGCUUACUACGCAUAUAUUGACGCUGAGGCACGAAAGCGUGGGGGAUCAAAACAGG